rnacentral:rRNA from 1 species
UACGUAGGUGGCAAGCGUUAUCCGGAUUUAUUGGGCGUAAAGCGAGCGCAGGCGGUUGCUUAGGUCUGAUGUGAAAGCCUUCGGCUUAACCGAAGAAGUGCAUCGGAAACCGGGCGACUUGAGUGCAGAAGAGGACAGUGGAACUCCAUGUGUAGCGGUGGAAUGCGUAGAUAUAUGGAAGAACACCAGUGGCGAAGGCGGCUGUCUGGUCUGCAACUGACGCUGAGGCUCGAAAGCGUGGGGAGCAAACAGG